rnacentral:rRNA from 1 species
AUAUUAUUAAGCGGAGGAAAAGAAACUAACAAGGAUUCCCCUAGUAACUGCGAGUGAAGCGGGAACAGCUCAAAUUUGAAAUCUCCAGGGUCCCCCUGGCGAAUUGUAGUUUAGAGAAGCGUUUUCGGAGACAGUUUUGGUUCAAGUCCCUUGGAACAGGGUGUCAUAGAGGGUGAGAACCCCGUUAAACCUUGACUUGUCUUCAUGUGAUAUGCUUUCCAAGAGUCGGGUUGUUUGGGAUUGCAGCCCAAAAUGGGAGGUAAAUUUCUUCUAAAGCUAAAUACUGGCGAGAGACCGAUAGCGCACAAGUA